rnacentral:rRNA from 1 species
CAGUAGCCGCGGUAAUACGUAGGUGGCAAGCGUUGUCCGGAAUUAUUGGGCGUAAAGGGCUCGCAGGCGGUUUCUUAAGUCUGAUGUGAAAGCCCCCGGCUCAACCGGGGAGGGUCAUUGGAAACUGGGAAACUUGAGUGCAGAAGAGGAGGGUGGAAUUCCACGUGUAGCGGUGAAAUGCGUAGAGAUGUGGAGGAACACCAGUGGCGAAGGCGACUCUCUGGUCUGUAACUGACGCUGAGGAGCGAAAGCGUGGGGAGCGAACAGGAUUAGAUACCCCUGUAGUCCCUGUCUCUUAUAC